rnacentral:rRNA from 1 species
AUUGAACGCUGGCGGCAGGCCUAACACAUGCAAGUCGAACGAGUGGCGGACGGGUGAGUAACGUCUGGGAAACUGCCUGAUGGAGGGGGAUAACUACUGGAAACGGUAGCUAAUACCGCAUACAAUCGGAUGUGGCCAGAUGGGCUUAGCUAGGAGGUGGGGUAAAGGCUCACCUAGGCGACGAGCCCUAGCUGGUCUGCGAGGAUGACCAGCCAAACUGGAACUGAGACACGGUCCGGACUCCUACGGGAGGCAGCAGUGGGGAAUAUUGCACGAGGGGGGCAAGCCUGAUGCAGCCAUGCCGCGUGGAUGAAGAAGGCCUGCGGGUUGUAAAGUACUUUCAGCAGGGAGGCGGUACCCGCAGAAGAAGCACCGGCUAACUCCGUGCCAGCAGCCGCGGUAAUUC